rnacentral:rRNA from 1 species
UACGUAGGGUGCAAGCGUUGUCCGGAAUUAUUGGGCGUAACGGGCUCGUAGGCGGUUUGUCGCGUCGGGAGUGAAAACCAGGUGCUUAACACCUGGCUUGCUUUCGAUACGGGCAGACUAGAGGUAUUCAGGGGAGAACGGAAUUCCUGGUGUAGCGGUGAAAUGCGCAGAUAUCAGGAGGAACACCGGUGGCGAAGGCGGGUCUCUGGGCAGUAACUGACGCUGAGGAGCGAAAGCGUGGGGAGCGAACAGG